GGGUGGUAAUGCCGGAUGCUCCAUCACACCGCAUGGUGUGUUGGGAAAGCCUUUGCGGCAUGGGAUGGGGUCGCGUCCUAUCAGCUUGAUGGCGGGGUAACGGCCCACCAUGGCUUCGACGGGUAGCCGGCCUGAGAGGGCGACCGGCCACAUUGGGACUGAGAUACGGCCCAGACUCCUACGGGAGGCAGCAGUGGGGAAUAUUGCACAAUGGGCGCAAGCCUGAUGCAGCGACGCCGCGUGAGGGAUGGAGGCCUUCGGGUUGUAAACCUCUUUUGUUAGGGAGCAAGGCACUUUGUGUUGAGUGUACCUUUCGAAUAAGCACCGGCUAACUACGUGCCAGCAGCCGCGGUAAU
rnacentral:rRNA from 1 species